CUGGGAGUCCAGCAGGCCUCGGGUCCUUCUCCUGCCUGAGCAAUGUGGCCGGAGCCCCCUGCACUCUAAGGUCAGGGAAGACUUAAAUCCAUCUAGCAGCCCGGCCUGCCUUUCCACUAGGCAUGUGGAAAUGCUUCCUGUCUAUGACUGCGUCUUGUGAACCUGCAAUUCAGACAGUUACCUGGUUCUCUCUUGCCGUGGCUCAAUGGCCAGGCCCAAUUUGGCCCCAGCUGCUCUGAGUAGAAGAGGAAGAAGCCUGCCGUAGUAUGGAAGCUUGUCUGAGCUAUAGGCCCAGGAAAUGACCCAGUC